UCGAGCGAGAAAGGGUAGCAAUAUCCGAGUAAAGCGGCGCACGGGUGAGUAACACGUGGGUAAUCUGCCUUGGAGUGGGGAAUAACACCGGGAAACCGGUGCUAAUACCGCAUACGAUGAUGAGAUCUGCGGAUUUUGUCAUGAAAGGAGCAAUUCGCUCCAAGAGGAGCCCGCGGCUGAUUAGCUAGUUGGUGAGGUAAUGGCUCACCAAGGCUUCGAUCAGUAGCCGGUCUGAGAGGACGGUCGGCCACACUGGAACUGAGACACGGUCCAGACUCCUACGGGAGGCAGCAGUGGGGAAUUUUUGGCAAUGGGGGCAACCCUGACCAAACAACGCCGCGUGGAUGAUGAAGUAUCUCGGUACGUAAAAUCCUUUCGACGGGGAAGAAAAACCGCAAGGUUUGACGGUACCCGUAGAAGAAGCCCCGGCUAACUCCGUGCCAGCAGCCGCGGUAAUACGGGGGGGGCAAGCGUUGUUCGGAAUUACUGGGCGUAAAGGGCGCGUAGGCGGUUUGCUAAGUUGGAUGUGAAAACUCUGGGCUUAACCCAGAGCCUGCAUCCAAAACUGGCAGACUAGAGUUUUGGAUGGGGAAGCGGAAUUCCUGGUGUAGCAGUGAAAUGCGUAGAUAUCAGGAGGAACACCGGUGGCGAAGGCGGCUUCCUGGACAAAAACUGACGCUG
rnacentral:rRNA from 1 species